GUGCCCAGUCGUGGGGGAUAACGUAGCGAAAGCUACGCUAAUACCGCAUACGAUCUAUGGAUGAAANCGGGGAUCGCAAGACCUCGCGCGAUUGGAGCGGCCGAUAUCAGAUUAGGUAGUUGGUGAGGUAAAAGGCUCACCAAGCCGACGAUCUGUAGCUGGUCUGAGAGGACGACCAGCCACACUGGGACUGAGACACGGCCCCAGACUCCUACGGGAGGCAGCAGUGGGGAAUUUUGGACAAUGGGCGCAAGCCUGAUCCAGCAAUGCCGCGUGCAGGAUGAAAGGCCUUCGGGUUGUAAACUGCUUUUGUACGGAACGAAACGGUGAGCUCUAAUACAGUUUGCUAAUGACGGUACCGUAAGAAUAAGCACCGGCUAACUACGUG
rnacentral:rRNA from 1 species